rnacentral:rRNA from 1 species
CUUUGGAACAGGGCAUCAUAGAGGGUGAGAAUCCCGUCUUUGAUUCGAGAUAUUUUGUCUUUUGCGAUACACUUUCAAAGAGUCAGGUUGUUUGGGAAUGCAGCCUAAAUUGGGUGGUAAAUCUCACCUAAAGCUAAAUAUUGGCGAGAAACCGAUAGCGAACAAGUACCGUGAGGGAAAGAUGAAAAGAACUUUGAAAAGAGAGUUAAACAGUAUGUGAAAUUGUUAAAAGGGAACCGUUUGGAGCCAGACUGGCUUGUCUGUAAUCAAUCUAGGUUUCGUGCCUGGAUGCACUUGCAGACUAUUUGCCUGCCAACGACAAUUUUUUUUGAGUGUAAAAACUAUUGGAAAUGUGGCCAAUAUUUAUUUAUUGGUGUUAUAGUCCUUUAGAAAAUACCUUGAAUUGGAUUGAGGAACGCAGCGAAUGCUUCUCUUUUGAGGCAAAGUCUUUUAUUGGGAUUUACGGAUCAGACUGUGGCAUUGUCACAAGACUUGAAGUUUAAACCUAUUUUUGAACUUUUAUUCGCUUAGGUGUG